UCUCCAACUGUAGCUCGAGAGUUGGCUCAUAAUGGAGAAGUUGGUGGUCACAAAGCUGAAGUUAAGUUCGAGAAUGAUAGUGUAACUGAUGCAGGACGUACAGGAAACCCAGUUACAACUCCAGCAUGCAAACCUGGCUCUAAAGGUUCUGGUAACUGCAAAUGCCCUAUAUUCAAACCUAAAUGCUAAGCCUCUAGGCCCCAGCCAAGCCCUUGAGCUAAAAAUAAUGUGGUGAAGAAUAUAACAUAAAUAAAGUCUUAUGUUAUCAACAUAAGCAUGUGUGCUGGCUUUCCAGUGUAAUUACCAGUGUAACAUAUCAUCACCUAGUUUAUACGCUGGUCCAUCAUAUAUAUUGUAUCUUUAAUAUAUAAAUUUGGUCAAAUAAGG
rnacentral:misc_RNA from 1 species